CCUCUGGGUCGUCCCAGUGCACUAGCCCCAAGCAUCCAGUAUCGUGCAUCGAACCUGGACUGGCAACUCGUUUCUUACAUGAUAUUUUACAUGUUUCAAUGUCAUUCUCCCAAAUCUUCCCACCCUCUCCCUCUCCCACAGAGUCCAUAAGACUGUCCUAUACAUCAGUGUCUCUUUUGCUGUCUCGUACACCGGGUUAUUGUUACCAUCUUUCUAAAUUCCAUAUAUAUGCGUUAGUAUACUGUAUUUAUGUUUUUCCUUCUGGCUUACUUCACUCUGUAUAAUAGGCUCCAGUUUCAUCCACCUCAUUAGAACUGAUUCAAAUGUAUUCUUUUAUUUUUAUAUGUACCAAUCUUAAUCUGAUUCUAGAGCUAUUAGGCUUAAAAUAAAGUAACCUUAUCCAAUGGUAGAAUAUGAGGUUUGCCAUGUGGAGGUGAACAACAUUCCAUAGACCAGUGGAACUAAUUUGCCUUGCUGCCUGAGUGUAUGAUGUAACAGCAAGCAAUCUACUUGAAGACUUGGGGCUGAGUCCAGGCUUCCUUUUUAUUUAAUCUUCUGACCCUGGUUAAGUGAUUUAAUUUCUGUGGUUCUUCAUCCAAUCUUAAAACAGCACUCACUCCAAACAAAGAACUGACAGAUAAGAACAUGAUAAAAUAGGCAAAUAGAAUACCUUGGGAAAAUUUGUCAGGUAGUGACAUGGAUGGUAUGUAUUUGAUAUUAAUGGGUAAAAUUAAAAAGAAAAAGAAAACAUGUAUUUUAGCAGGAAUUCUAGGAGGGAAGAAAAAGCCAUUGUAACUUUCAUAAAAUGAAUGAAAAUGGAAAUGAAAAAAAAUUUGUGCAGGUGAAACAAUUUGUUACAUAGUUGCCUAUAAAAUACAAAGCAAGAGUUUAGUUACACAGGUUCAUUGAAUAAACAUCUGACUACAUACUUGAGGAAAACUAAGUCACACCAAAGCACCAUGAGGGAUUCCAGCAAUGAUUUAAUAGUUCAAAGUGUGACAUUAUUUGGAAUGUAAAAAAUAUAGCCUUAUAGACCUACUCUUAAGAAGUUUAUCAUCAAAUUCAUAAGAGAUAAUUAGACAAACUAUUAAUAUAAUUAUUCUUAUUUUGGAAAGAACUUGUCCCAAAUGUAACUCAUUUGGUAGUAUUACCUUACCUGACAUAUAUUAUUCAAAUAUGGACUAUAAGGAUAUUGGAAAAUUGUAUCUCAGUGAUUAGGCAUGAAAAUGAUAACACAUCUCACAAAAGAAAUACAAAUGGCCAGUUGAUAUAUGAAAAAGUCCUCAUCGGCAUCAGCAAUUAGGGAAAUGCAAGCUCAAACUCCCACCAGACUGGCAAGACAGAAAAGGACUGACUAUAUCGAUUGUGGUUGAGGGUGUGGACAUGAGGUUCAUACAAUGCUGGUGUGAGUGUAACACUUUAGAAAACAGCUUGGAAUUAUUCAUUCAAAUCUAGAACACAUGUAACUACUCCCAGGUAUACACCAUACAGAAACUCAGAUGUGAUGGAAUACAUAUGCAAGAAAUAUUUAUAGCAGUAUUUACAACAAUUUCAAACUGGAAACAACCCAGAUAUUCAUCAACAAUAGAAUGGCUAAAUAAAUUAUGCCAUAUUGCUAUAAUGGAACACCAUAAAACAGCAAUUAAAAUGAACAAACUACAGUUAUAUGAACAACCCAAACAACGUAUGACGGGUUAAAAAACAUGUUGAGCAAAAGCUGUAAUCAAAACAGGUUACAUACUGUUGUUCCAAGACAAAGGGCAAAACCAAAUAAUAUGUUGUUUAGAGAUACACAUGCUUGUAAUGAAACUAUAGAGAAAAGCAAGGAAAUGGCUAUCACUAAAGUCAGAAUAACAGUUACCUCAAAAAGGGGGGGAAAGAGUUGUAUUCAGGAAGGCCACUGGGGUACUUCUAGGGUGCUGGAAAUGUUCCAUUUCUUGACCUGGUUGGUUACAUGGAGGCUUCUUUUACAAUUACUCCUUUUACUGAGUAACUGCUUUAUGCAUUUUAAUGCAUAUUUCACAAUCAAACCACUAAAAGUAAUUGAAUAUUGUAGAUGGAAUUUCUAGAAAGAAAUACUGCUAGAGAAUUUAGCUUAUGAAAUCUUUUACAGCAAAAACUACUGGUGUGGGAUAAUGAAGCUGAUAAAAUGGUUUCUCAUACGAGCUCACUUUCAAGUGUAGGAGAAAAGAACCCUAUACAAAUAUCCCUCUGUUAUAUUUUAACAUACUACCCAGAUCCUUAUUAUACACAAACUGAUGAGCCAGGGAAAGAACUCUGUAUCCUAAAACUUCAGAUUUCUUUUUUUGAAUUUCGAAUGAACCAGUUGUUUUCUUCUCUGGAGUAGUAAGAAAUGAAAGCACUGAAGAGAUGCAGACCAAGUUGGCAAUGUAGGAGCUUCCUGUUCUGCAGCCGCCAGUUCCAGCUGUUUCCUCCAGUCAGCAUACCGGGUGGUGAACUGGGUGGGUCUUGCCUAGUAAGCUAGUGCAGCUGGAAGUUCAUCAGUAGUUGGCUGAGGGCUCUCCUCCCUGCUACGCUGCCUCUCAGCACCAAGGUUCUCUGGUGGAACCACUGACAACGAAAACCAAUCAGGCUGCUGAAAAGCUCCAUGUGGUUGGUUACACACUGCCCUGGAGGUGUCCUCUGCUGGGUUGCAGAGCUCUGAUGUUUGCAUUUCUUCUAGCCAAAGUUAACAGAAAUCUGUGGUGCUAGGCUUUACAAAAUCCCCUCAAUCUGUGUAUUUUAUUCCUUCAAUUUCCAUCAAAAAAUUAGGAAGAGGAGCAAAACCCCAAAUGAUUUACACAUGUAGCCAUGUGGGGCCAUCACUUGCUGUUCAGAUUCCUUGUGAGUCUUAUCUGGAAGGAUCCGGCAGGGACCAGUCAUAAGAAGAGAGUCAAAUCUAGGGUAACUUAAACACAGGAGGGUUAACCUGGCUCUUAGAACUUGGAUGAACGGGCAAGAGCUACUUUAUCAGUCUCUUCUUGCUUUGGCAAUAUCCGUCCCCACCCCCUCCUUCCAUUACUUUUUCUGCAGCAUUUUAAUAAAAACGAGCCCUUGUAUUUUACCCAGUUACAAGGUUCCUUGAUGUAUUUGCAUAUGGUGGUGGCAGCAGGGGCAGAAACUCUGAGCUCCCCAGAUCUUUAUAUAAAAACCUGCCCCUAUCCCCUGAGGUAGAAAGAUCCGUAACAGUCACUAUCGCUGCUUCCGGAAGAGGUAAGGCGCGCCAGGGUCCAGAGACCCAACUGCGGAAUCUGCUUCCUUUCGUCCCUGCUUUUAUCCCCUUCUCACACUAUUCAUCAGGACAGGUGCAAGACAGAUUUCUGAGGAAUCUGAAAUCGUUUUAUCUUAAAAUUUCCUGUCCUAGAGAACUACACUGUCAACUUCAUGAGUUUUUACUUGAAUUUACUUUCCAGGAUAACACCUGUAGGAAAACCAGUAUAAAUAGUAAUAAUAUUUAUUUUAGAAAGGAAAUAGCCUUUGAGUCAGACCUGAAACACAGGCCAAAAUUUCUUGAUUACAGUAAUGGACACCGAUUAACAACCAAUACCAGCUUUCCAAAGCUCCAAGCCACAAACAUGAAUGAUUCCUAAAAGGGAAUCAGUACUAAAUCCUCUUCCUGAAAAGUCAAAAAUACUGCCACAAUCCCUGGGAGGACGGCUCCCUUCUUUCGUCCCAGCAGUUCGCCUCUUUUUUCACUUAAGACUCAGGUUGGGACUCAUUUCAACCGCAGCCCCAUUUCCUUCGGGGGGAGAGGGGUAAGAGGGAUGUGUUACAACUCGCAUCUUUACAAAUGCUACGCAGUUUACAAAGAGCUUGGACUUCCGUCAAACUCCUCUGAGCUCCGCGAGUGAGGGAGCCAUUCAUUCAUUCAUCAAACAUUUGCUCUGCCUGACCACGCGUCAUCGGGCGCUGGUGUCCCUCCACACCAGGGGAAGGGUGGGGCGCUCGCGCCCUCGAGCAGGUGCGGCAGAUCAAGCUGUAAGAUAACUUCUCGAGCAGCUGGGCUUUCCGAAGGCCCGUUUGGGGCCAAAUGCCUCACCUUCGGGUGGUGCGCGCCCGAGCAUGGCCGCGCGGCCUGGGCCUCCUCCUUGCUCCCCAAGGAGCAGUCACCACCUGCUCUGAAGGAAACCGCUACAGAGCAAGCUCUCUCCACCGCCCUCGGGUCAGGGGUAAGCUCAGGCGGCAGCUUAGGCUCCACGCGGCUCCUCCCCUUCCUCUCUUCUGUUCUGACGCGGCCGUAGAGGCGGCGGCAGCGACACCGAGUCCGCGGCCCGAGGCGCACCCACCCGCUCGCCGAGCCCGACUUCCUCUUCCCUUGGAGCGUCAUCAGAGCGCGCCAGAGGCGCCUAGGGCGGGGUGGUCGGAAAGGUGAAAAAAGACUAGGGGAGUGAGCCUCCGAGCGGAGAGAGAAGGGAGGGGGUGGGGGAGAGAGCGGUUGCUAGGUGACUUGCGUCAUUGUUGCGCGCCGUUUUCCUCCCGCCCCUCUCUCUGGAGUGAGGCGAGAGCCCCGCACUAAGCGAGGGAGACAGCGAGCUGAGCUCCGGGCGCUACCGCCGCCGCCGCCGCCGCGAGCGUGAGAGCCAGGGAGCAUCUGAGAGACCCAGCGCCCGUGCACCGGCCGCCGCCAGGACCUCUGCCCUGACCUGGGCCGGCGGGAGCCGCGGCCACCUCUCUUCUCCCCCCCUCACCUUCCCGGCCGGCAGCCGCGGCUGCACACGCCGGAGCCCGAGCCGGAGCCGGUGGCUGGGGGGCAGGGAGGUGGCUACCUCGGACCGGGACUAGUCCGCUGCUCCGCGGGGAGAGGACGCUGAGGAGGGGCCGGAGCUUCUGUUGGUCCCGGGGCGCGGGGCGAGGGACCCCCAAGGUGGAGGGCGGGGGUCCCAGCCGCAGCGACACAUGCGGGAGCCGGGAGCGGGGGCGGCGCCGAGCGGAGCCGGCCGGGUCCCCCACCUCGCCGCCGCCUCGGCCACCCGCCCGGGGCCGUAGCAUCUCGCCGCGGAGUGCAUGAGCCGGGGCUCCACGCCGGGCAGACGCCCCCCGGCUGGGGGGGCGGGGACCCCGAUGUGAAGCGGCGGCCGGGGCGGCGGGGACAGCGGGACCGACGCCGCCGUCCUUCCCUUCCCUCCCCCGCCCCUCUGCCCCCUCGGGGGGUCUCCGUUCUCGGCCCGUCGCCGGCCCCCCGGCUCCUCGGCAAGGACUCCGGGAGGAGUUCUUAGAGCCCCCUCCCUGCCCCAGCCCCGAGGGCGGCGGGGCCGGGGGGGACCCGGGGGGCCGGCCGCAGCCUCCGCCCAGAAGAAACUUUAUAAAACAAAAAUCCGGAGCCUCCCAAACGGGACUGUCGGGGAGAAGUGGCCCGGGACGGGCAGAAGACCCAGCCUGAAGAGACCCAGGAAGAGGAAAAGAGGAGGUAAGCCGGGCCGCCGCUGCCGCCUCUGCUCCGGCCGCGCGGAAGAGACCCGGGUGGCCGCCCGGCUUGGCGGUCCCAGCCCCGCUUCUUGCUCAGCAACGCGCCGGAGCUGCCGCGGCUGCCGCCUCGGUCCCUAGGAGGACAGGAAACAGCCCGCUUUCUCAGCGCCGCCGGUUCUUUUCUAAAGUGCCUCACUAUUCCUUGAGACACAACAGUAUUGAAAUCAGCCAAUUGAUAAGCCUGCAAUGACUCCAAUGUUGAAGUGAAGAGGAAGACUUGCAUGUCUCUCACUUUAAAUCGAAAGCUAGAAACAAUUAAGCACAAUGAGGAAGACAUCCUGAAGCUGAGAUAGGCUGGAAACGAGGCCUCUUGAGUCAGUGAGCCAAGUUGUCAGGGAAGGAAAAGUGCUUAAAGGAAAUUCAAAGUGCUGCUCCAGUGAAUAGACGAAUGAGAAAGCAAAACAGCUUGCUGCUGAUAUCGAGAAAGUUGUAGUGGUCUGGAGAGAAGGUCAGACCAGCCACAACAUUCAUUCUCUUAAGCCAAAGCCUAACCCAGAGCAAGGCCCUAAGUCUCUUCAAUUCCCUGAAGGCUGAGAGCAGUGAACCAUUUCUUGACUGGAUUGUGAUGUGAGAUGAAAAGUGGAUUUUAUCCAAUGACCAGCAACCACCAACUCAGUGGUUGAACCGAGAAGAAGCUCCAAAGUACUUCCCAAAGCCAAACUUGCACCAAAAAAAGGUCACUGCCACUGUUUGGUGAUCUGCUGAUGUUCUGAGCUGCUGCAGCUUUUUGAAUCCUGG
ensembl:lncRNA